rnacentral:lncRNA from 1 species
UUUGAAUUAAGUAGUUUAUUGUAAAAAAAUAAUUGAGAAAUACUUUGCUUCAUACCAAACACACUCAAUACACUAAUUAACAAAUUCAAUACUCACAUUGAAAGAAAUUAAAAAUAAUAUUAUGAAACCCUAACCUUCAAUUAAAGGAGAAGGGCAGUGGAUCGACGUCGGGGUCAGUUGGCCGGAGAUGUUGCUCUCCUCGCCGGCUGUUGAUGUUGAUUGGAGAGACGAGAGAUAGGCGGCGAUUUGUCUCGCCGGUGAGAAGAGACGGGAGGGAAGGAGAGAAGAGAUGAGAAGAGGAGGGCGGCGGGAGGAGG